AUGGUUCUCUAAGUCUCUUUUCAUCUUGGUGCUCCUCCAAUGCACUGUCUCCAGUAUGUUGAAGAAUCUACUUACCCAGAAAAGAACCAGCAGAGGGUGCCUGAACUAGAGAGCAAGUCCGAGAUUUGUGCUGGAAUUCAUAAUGUAAGUGUAAAAAAGGAAAUAAACUUUAAUUUCCUUCUCUAUUAAAACCAAAGAGGAGUAUGUUAAUGAAAA